rnacentral:rRNA from 1 species
UACGAAGGGGGCUAGCGUUGCUCGGAAUCACUGGGCGUAAAGCGCACGUAGGCGGCUUCUUAAGUCAGGGGUGAAAUCCUGGAGCUCAACUCCAGAACUGCCUUUGAUACUGAGAGGCUUGAGUCCGGGAGAGGUGAGUGGAACUGCGAGUGUAGAGGUGAAAUUCGUAGAUAUUCGCAAGAACACCAGUGGCGAAGGCAGCUAACUAUUCUGUUCCUGACAUUGAGGCAUGAAAGCGUGGGGAGCAAAACGG